UCUCCUUUCUCCUCAUUAUCAUCUUUCUCUUUUUUUUUUAAAUCUUCUUUAAUCUACACUUUUCUGUAUCCUUGCAUUGGGCUUCCGUUCUGAAUAUCGCCGGAAGCCACGCGCAAGCGAUAUACGGUCAAUCCAAACU
ensembl:ncRNA F37B12.10 ncRNA